rnacentral:rRNA from 1 species
AUACGGCGGGAGCAAGCGUUAUUCGGAAUCGCUGGGCGUAAAGGACGCGUAGGCGGGUUUGUAAGUCAGGUGUGAAAUCCUACAGCUCAACCAUAGAACUGCAUUUGAAACUUCCAAACUAGAGUGGGGGAGAGGUCAGUGGAAUUAGUGGUGUAGGGGUAAAAUCCGUAGAGAUCACUAGGAAUACUCAUUGCGAAGGCGACUGACUGGAACUUAACUGACGCUGAGGCGUGAAAGCGUGGGGAGCAAACAGGAUUAGAAACCCGUGUAGUCC